AGUGUUGGGACAACUCUUACUCAGUCUAGCCUAUAUCCUUUUUGCAACCUUGCAGUCAACAGUCUUCAAAAGAUAAAAUUUAUAGCGCUAAUAUUAAUGAUGUAUGUUGGUUACCAUGCAGGAUACCAUCUUCUGUUUUCUGUUGAGCCCGACCAAGACAGUGUCCCUCAAUCAGUUUUUCUGUACUUUGGUCCCCUGUUCAGGCACAAACUCUACUGAUGUUGGGAGCUAUUAAGGCAACGCUAUUGUCCUGAUCUCUGAAUUGGGCCUCUCCCCUUGAGAAGAAAAGGGGGUCAAAAGCCACCAGACGCACCGCUCUGAGAACAACCACAGAUUGUUCCAGCCCUAAGUCAGCGCUGGAUGUCCUGACCUCAAGAUGUACCCUGAUACCACCAAAUUCCUGCUUCCCCGAGUAAUCGCCAAAAGAAAAAUUUCUGCUGCCCCAUCCCUCCUGCUGAGGUGCAUUUCCUCUGCCCCAUUCCUCCUGCUGAAAGACACUUCCCCUUUUGCUUGUGCAUUUAAACCUUGGGCCUGGCUAAUACAUUUGGGGUCUUGAUGCAAUCCAGAACGGUUUCCGUGUCGUUAUUCGCACAAGACCCUUGUCUCUCUCUACUCUCCCCCCCCCCCCAAUUUGGUUAUUAGGGGAUGGGAAGGACAGCAAGAGAAAUAAGGAGCCAAGACAAAGUUCUCUGAUCAAGGCCCAAUCUUUAAUGUAUGGCACUGAAUACAUUGGGAAAACCCAAGGACCUAUGCCUUUGUUUAGGCUGGGUUCUGUUGCUUGUUUCAGUUAGAUUGAGUUGAAAAAUAGGCACUUCAUCAGCUCAGCAUGUGGGCAGUUCUCAGUUGUCUGACAAGAAGAUAUAAUUGUAUCAAAACAAGACAUGUAGCUCCAGUGUACUAGACUUGUUAAGCCAGUUCAAGGCUAAGGGGUGGGGGUAGGGGUCACACUCUGACACUGACACAGCAGGUGUUUCAGAACUAAUGUUGAGCCAGAGUCAGCAGGAUGUACUCUCACUUUGGCUGCUAGAGAGACUACAGAAUAUUUCCUCUCUGGGACAUGAAUCAAAUUAGCCUGUGUUCAUUGAUGUUCUUCUUGGCUCCAAAUAUACCUGACAUCAUAUAAGUGGCUUGAAUGUGUCCACAGGAUUUCUGAAUGAGUUAUUUGUUCAGUUAGUUGAUGGUGAGAGACAGGACAAGGUCAUUAAAUCGUUUUCCUAUGAGUCAGUUUCAGAAAUGCUAGCUACUUACAAAUGGGCUGUUUGUAGGUUACACGUAAACUCCUUAAACCCCAUCCACAAACACAUUGUCUAGUCAAUUCUUCACUGCUUGAGCUUUUCAGUCACAUGAACAGUCUACACAUGCUAAGGAGUGUUAACAUGCUUAGUGACAGGGAAGGUGCCUCAGCUGAAGUCAGGAGUGGAAGGUACUCAUUGCUGCUUUCUGCUGUAGAAGCAACUUGAAGUUCAUUACUAGAAAAACAAUAGUCCAUAGCCAGAUGAGGUGCCACAACCCAUAAUCCCAGAGUUCAGGAGGCUGGAGCAGGAGGAUAGUCAAAGAUCUAAGACCAUUCAGACCCUCAGUGUAAGCUCAAGCUCAGCUCAGAGCUC
rnacentral:lncRNA from 1 species